UGUUGCCUGGAAACGAGCGGAAGCGAGACCUGAGUCUGAGGAGGCGGGGCAAAGAGGCAGCGAGCUGUGGGCGGGGCUAGUCAAUGCUCCGGCCCAGGAGACUUCCAGUAGAAGGUGUGGCCCUGGUUAAAGUUGUGUCUUCCCACUCAAGAUCCAAAUCAAAGGCAUGUGUCUUCCUACCUAAAGGGUCUGGACUAAAAGUGGAUUCACUCACUUCAAGCCAAGCAAAAAGUCUUUCACAGGUCUCACACAUCUGCCAGUGUCAGGAACAACAAUCUCAUUAGGAACUGGAGGAACAUUCUGGAGAAACCACAGUCUACCUGAAGCUUUAGUUCCAUCCUCACACCUGCAUCCAAUCAAGAAGCGCAGUGAGCAUCCUUGUUUGUGAUUAUUUGCACACAGGUGGUUGGCGAGUGGGCAGGUUAGACUUCUGGAUGUGUGGUUGUCUUGCUGUGCACUUUGUGUCCAGGGGGAUUUUCAUGGGGCUUUCUCUAGUGGAGGAAGAUCCCUCCUGCUCAUCCUCAGGCCAAUGGCUGCUUACGUUUUUAGGAGAAACAAGGCUGUACCAGUCACUUGUGGGCAGGUCCUCUCAUCCUUGAUCUUUUAGCAGCGUGAUUCUCUGAGGCUUCAGAAUACAUUAUUCAGGCAUCUUUUUCUGUCAAUUACCAUGACAUCAGCUGGAACAACAAACAAACCAAUAAAAAGGAAUGGAUAA